rnacentral:lncRNA from 1 species
UUUAACAAUCCAAUUUGAUUAUAAAAUAAAGUAAACAUAUUAAUGGGAUCACCUCCUAUGCUAAUUCUAAUUCCUACAACCCAAGUAAAUAACUUUAUCUGAUUUUUAUUUUUCAUUCCAAUUAAUCUACCUUGUUUUGAUUUUGUUUCAAUUCUUUCCCAUUCUAAUUUAUGAAAAAUAAACACAUCAUAAUUUUGUUAAAAAAUAUUUUAAUUUCACAGGGUGCUAGUGCCCUCAACAAUAUUGCCAUUGGAAGCCUUGUCAGGCACUUUUUAACCUCUUUUCAUAAAGCAUGUGCGAUAUAUGAAUAAAUUUACUCUUUUGGGAGAUGUUUUGCGAUUUGUUCUUUUCAUUAACCCUUUGUCUUUUCUAAUUGCAUACCUUAAAUUUCUGCGAAUGCGACACUUGUAUGGCUAAACCAAAAUUUCAAUUUGUGCUACAAAAUAUUCUCAAUAGUAUUUCGAAUUAAUGAAUUAACAAUAUAUAGUUUGUAAUUUGUUUAACAUACCUCUUAUUUUGGUGCAAGCUUUUGUGAUUCAUUUAUGCAAAUUUGAAUAUAUUCAUUGAUUUCAUACUCUUUAAUUUAGCUCAAUUUUUUUAAAACUAAAAAAUCUUAACAAUUUUGUGUAAAGUAUUGAAACAGUCAAUAUUUAAUUAAUUGAGUAGUUUUUAAACAUCUUUAUCUAAAUUGGCCAUCUGAAUUUUAAAAUUCUAGCCAAAUUUAUUUUUUUAAAAGUCAAGCGUCUAAAUAUGUGGAAGUUUUGCAACAGUUUGGAGACUUCCACUGUUCACAAUGACAUAUGCCGACAAAUAUUUUGACCACCCUUUUUUUUUUUUUUAACUUAAGAAGUACUAAAAGUCUACCGACUUGGGUCUUGGGGGGUUUUGGGCCAAGUCUUUAGUAGGCCUAGACCCAUGCUUAAUAAAUCUUAGUAAAAAUGGGCCUUGGAAGAACCCUACUAAUAAAUUAGGUGAUGCUAUUAACACCAUAUGAAGUUCUCAAAAAACCUAUUUUGAACUUGCGACUUGUGAUACCCCUUGGGAAGUUAGUUAGGAAUCAUAUUACUUCUAGUAAGUAAUAGAGCCUAUUUUGCCACAAAGAACCCCAAAACUUGAUCAAUAAAUUUCACAACUUUUGGAGCUGCUUUCCAAUAUGUUAAUUGCAUUAGCCUUUGAUCUCUUUUCAGAUUGCAGAAAUUAAUAAGUUCCAUGUCUCCAUGGCUUAAUUCUUUUUCAUCCUUUGGGCUUGGCUUUGGACAAGUUCCCAUAGGGCUCUUUGUUUUUGUUUCUUGAUUGAAUAAUAUAAUUCAUUUAAUUUGAUAGAACUUAAUCGUGAUUAUAAUGUCUCAUAAAACUCUUUGCAGGCUUAGAAUCUACUUGAAAUUAAGGUUGGACAGUUGUAUCUUAAAAGUUAUAACACUAAAAUAUAUUAUAAGCAUUAAA